rnacentral:rRNA from 1 species
CAGCCGCCACGGUAAUACGAAGGGUGCAAGCGUUAAUCGGAAUUACUGGGCGUAAAGCGUGCGUAGGCGGUUUGUUAAGUCUGUUGUGAAAUCCCCGGGCUCAACCUGGGAAUGGCAAUGGAUACUGGCAAGCUAGAGUGUGUCAGAGGAUGGUGGAAUUCCGCGUGUAGCAGUGAAAUGCGUAGAUAUGCGGAGGAACACCGAUGGCGAAGGCAGCCCCCUGGGCCAACACUGACGCUCAUGUACGAAAGCGUGGGGAGCAAACAGGAUUAGAUACCCGCGUAGUCCCUGUCUCUUAUAC